CAGGGCUUGGGGUGUAAUUUGUGGCUGCAUGGUUGUGUGGGUGGGCUAUAGGGUGUGGCUUGGUGAGGGGCUGCGGUGGGUUUGUGGAGCUUUGAGCGGCACUUUGGGCUCUGGGGGUGUAAUUUGGGGGCUGUUUUUGUUUUGAGUGCCCCGUAGGACUGUAGUGAGCUGCAUGAAGAUGUCCUGUGGGGCUGUACUGGAGCGUUGGGGUUGUAGGACCUGAAGUGGGAUGUAAUUUGGGGUUGUAGUGGUGUGAGGCUAUGCCUAUGGGGCUGUGGGACUGUGAAGCCCUGUGGGGUGGCAUUGGGUAGUGGACACCGUAGAGACUGGGAUAGGAUGUAGUUUGUGUCUGUAAGGCUGUACAGGGGGGAUAGGACAUAGAUUGUGUCUGCAAGGCUGUACAGAGGCUGGGGGAUCCAUACCAAGGGGCUUUAGGGGAUGCUCUGAAGGGCUGCAGUGGAUUGUAGGGUCAAGGGAACACUCCACGAGCUGUGUGGGGAAGGGGCUGAAGCAAAACCCAAGCAUGAUGUGACUUCGUCCAGCUCCUGCGCUGAUCCCUGUUGAAAGCAAGUGAGAGUGCUGCAACAAAAUCUGGCUGAGGAUGAAACAUUCUUGCAGCAGCCUUGGAGGCUGAACGUCAGCUGAGGAUCUCAAAAGUGAGGAGGAACAGCAAGUGCUUUGUCUCAAGACCCUUUUUUGGGACCUGAGGGAAUGGUGCUUCUACUGCUGCAGCACAGCAAAAACUUGCAUGCGAGGAGAAAAUAUUCUACCUUGGCAUUUGGAGCCUCACUAACAAGCAGCCAGAGAGGAGCGAUGCCAUAUAAAACUGUAACCUCUAAAUAUGAAAUUUUGGAGAUCGCAACGAGCGGCGAGUGCCAGCUCCAUGCCGGCAGCAGGGAGGAGGCAGAGGGAACACCAUCAGCUCGCUACUCGCUGCUGCACAGAGCACAUAGCCCCAGGAGUUUUUCUGCCCAGUGUCCUGUUACCACUUGAAUCAAGAUGUGAAUGCCAAGCCAGCUUAUUUUUAGCAUGAUUUGGACCUAAAGAAGCAAAUGCUGGUGAAAUACAUAGUACUGACAGCUCUGGAAAAUCUUUAUUCAUCUGCAGCACAGGAAGCAGGGAAGGAUGCAAGAAAGCAAAGCAAUCCCAAGCUACAAACGAAGUUUCCCUAGCACUGCACAGAUCCUGGCAGUAGCUGGGAGAGGGUUUUUCCACGCUAAGAGCAGGCCUGGCACGGCAGGGAGGAGUGCAGUGUGCCGCAGAUUUGGACGGCCUGCAAGCCUCCAGCUGAGCUCACUGCGUCUGUUGGAGCUCAACUGCAGCAGCAGUGGGGCUGUAAAAAUGGGAGAGACUCGGAAAACUUGAGUAUCUGAGCCCUGCUCUGCUAAGCUCUGUGAGUUUACUGUGUUAAUACAACAUUGGCUCUGUGCAAAUGGGCGGUCCAAUGGUACCGAUGCUGCCCUGUACCACCUCUAGCAGUCACUCAAACUCUCUGCUCUGUGGAACAACCCAAAAAGAGGACACUUAUGACACAACCAUCAUGCCAAGCAGGCAUGUUCCUAUCCCCAUCUCUUGGGACGUUGCUGAAAUCCUCCAGUGCCUUUAGGCAUCUGCAGGACCUGAGCUGGCUGGGGACUUGUAGAUCCCUGCAGGCAGCAGUUGGCUGGAGUGGAGAUGGGGCCAUGAAGGGGACCAGAGUAGCAAAAAUGGGUCCCUUCGGCUUUUGGGGCACAGCUAGGAGGUCCCUGGAUGUGUGCCGGGAACAGUAGCUGGGGUUGUUGAAGGUGGACCACAGGAGAUGUCCCUGCAUUUCUCUGCCAGGAGGAUGCACACACAGUGUUAACACGCUUGUCAUCAGUAGGUCUGAAAUCUAACCACGGACAGCUCAGGGAUCUGACAAUUGUUUGUGUCUGCCUCGAGACAAAUAUCUCAUUGCCCCCUUUGCAAAUUUGCUCCUCUGCUGCGUGUGUGUUUCGAGUUUCCUCAUGCAAAACCUGCGUGGGUGUUUGGAUAUGUAAUGAGCACAUAGUUCAGGAUGAAAACAAGUUGCCUGGAAGAGCCAAGUAACGCCAAAAAAAUGAAAGCAAUACAAACAACAACAUGGCACACAGCCAUACCAGCUAGACCGUGGGCCAGCCGGAUCUCACGUACUCUCCGGAGCUGCAGAGCCGAUCAGCUGUUGGAAAAAGAGACCUUUAAAGACAAGUGAGAGGAAAUAGCAUUGGCAGUGCAGGUCACAGCAUGUUUCCUUCCAAAGCAGGACAGAGCCAAGGACAUGAGGCAGAGCUGUAACAUUCGGGGUCUCAUUGCUCAGCAAGUCAAAAACCUCCAGUGGGUUGUAGUUGUGUAAGCGCCUAUUGUUUUCUGAGCAGAAUCAGAGCACUGGUCUGAUUGGGUAUUGUCACAACAGAUUUUGGCAAUGCUUGCUCACCUAAGUGAGCUCCCUCUGCAAAACGAAGCCCUGGCUUUAACUCAGUGCUCCGUGUUGGGGAAAUAAACCUGCCUGCCUACACAACUCUCUGACUGGAGAGUAUCUUCCAAGACCUCCCAUAGGAACUCUGAAGAAAAGCACCAUUAGCCUAUGGACCAGAGCAAUUCCAAAAAAUUCCCUGAAGUGGCCUCACUAAUUAUUAUCUCAUUUUGGUAACGUGAAUGAGGAAAAAAUAGUGGUGAAGCUGUUUUGAAAUGCAUUUUCUGCAGAGCCUGAAUGAAUUUCUGAACAGAAAGGGGGGUGAGAGCAUGCCUCAAAGACAGGUUACGUAAUUUUUCCCUUGCCCUCAUCCAUUUGGAGCAAGGGACCAUCUGUACCUCCUUAUAACGCAGAGAAACAGUACUUCUUUCAGCAUAAGAAAAUAGGUCUAGUUGUGUAGACUCUGAACUAAGCAUCUGCUCUAGCCCAUUCACUUAAAUACCUGUCUGAGAACUUUUCACCAGCUCUUAGAGCACCUGUUCAUUGGUUAAAGGCUUGAAUCAGUGAAAGCUCACUGGCAAUCUGGAAGGUUGAAAGGGGCCUUAAAUACCAGAGCUUCCAUAUGCAUAUUGGCAUUUUUCUUUGCAUAAAUGCCAGCUUUAAAAGGCUUGUUUUACAAAGCACAAACACAGUUCUAUGAUGAUUUUUUUUUUUUUUUUUUUUUUUUUUACAUCAAGGUCAGUAACUCAGCUUCAUUCAUCAGUCUCCAGCUGCAAACAUGUCCCAGACAAUGGAGGAGAGUGUAUGUGAGCCAGGAAGUGCCGUUUAAGGGGAUGUGAGUGGCUCUGAACUGCACUGGGGAAAGAGGAUCUUGGUGCCCUUGUGCACUUGGCCCUUCACGAACUGAAAUAGGGCGCUUGAGGGCAGGAAAAGCUGCUUAGGUGGCACAAAUAACACUCGCACUUGGUGAGCUUCAGUAAAAGGCACCUCUCAAAUGUCACCGCUGUGCUGUCGACUCUGGUGUGAUGCAGCCAACAUUGUGCUCCUCUCCACAAAGGCAGUGAGCGCUUUUAGGAAGCAGACAAGAUAAUCCCAGCUAAAAAUACUUAUUCUUCCCCUGGGAGGUGCAUGCAUCCUGUGCACGGUGCUCUCACGGCGACGUGCUUGCACACCCAGUGCACUCUGCUCGUCUUUCACUUCCGUGCUUCUCCUCCUUCCAAGUGAAGUGCUUGGGCAUUGUGAUUAGUGCUCUGAAUCACCCAGAGAGGAUGCUCAGUCCUGUGUUUCAGAUGCAAAAUGUGCCUUGGAAUUCAAUUGUUGCUAUAGUGCUGUAAUUACACAUUUUAUGGAGUAGUUAGUCAGAAUGGCUAGAGCUCUUGUUAUUAGGCUUGGACUCCUUCUGCCUUAUUUUAAAGACCUCUCUGAUAAAGAUCUGCUCUCUGCAUUAAAAAUAGUUUUUUUCAGCUUUUGUGUCCCUUCAAACGUAGCCACAGUUCAUGGCUGAAGGAAAAUAGGUCCCCAGCCAUGUGGAGGGGCAGAGUUUGUAGCAUGCUUUUUGCGACAUAGGGGUUGUGGUGCUCUGGCUUUGGGUGCUCCAAAAUGUUCCUCAAAGUCAGCUGCAAUGACACCAGCUGAGUACUUCCAGGAUUCGGGAGUUCUUGAGCACUGAUCUCAGCAACUUUGCUGUCUGUGGUUUGGAGAGGACUUGCACAGCCUGCUCAGGGCACCCAUACCAGCCAGGAUCGUCUUCUUCCCUUCAGCAGUAUGGAGGAAGUGGACUCUUUGGAUGCUUCUUCUAGAAGAUGACAGCCUACCACAAUGGGACACGGUUUUGGUGAGGAUGAAUCCCUGUACCAAGGUGUUGCUGUUCUUAUGCCCACUCUAGAAGAAGCUCAGCAGUAUUGCAAGCAACUGAGAUAAGCAAGAUAAGCACCAUCCUUGACAUCCCUACUCUGGUCAGCAGGGAUACUCACCACCCUACACCAUAGGGUUGGCCUUUCCCCUAUUAACCACAUUUUCUGCCCAGGUUUCCCUAUCUGGAGCGUGGAGCUAACUGCUUAAUUGCCUACUUUCUAAGGAGUCAGGCAGGAUAAUUAGCUAAUGUUUGGGUAAUGCGUCAUAGGGUAAAAGUGCUAAGUAGUAUUACUGUCAGCAACACAGUGGGAAGUGAAGAACUCAAUCUUGUUUUUCAGUCGGGUCUUCCCUUAAGCUCAUUGUUCACAUUGAUUGCUGAGGGCAGGGGACUUGGGUGAAAAGUUUCAAGGAGGAGGAUGCCAAGGACAGCAGAAAGCUGCUUGCAAUCCAGGAGAAGAGCUAUGAGAAUAGCUUGGUAUGCUUUGGAAAGAGAAAACUGAAAAUGAUGACAAAGGCAGGGAACACGCCUGGGGCAGCACAGAAAGGACUCGUGUCUGUAAGCUUAAUUAUUCAAUAGCAACAUCCUCAGAGUCACAAAAGUGCAUCGGGGAAAGUUUCUUGUGUUGCAUUUGUUGCAUGCAUGCAGCACUGUGGGAAACAUGAUACAGAAACCCAUCUAGCUCUCCCUGGGGACUGAAGUAGACUCAACCUAAAAGAGAUUUUGCUUCUUUAAUUUCUAUUAUUCUGCAAAUUACGUUACAGAUGAACUUUAAACCCUUCUCAUGUCCGUUGAUCAUAAUUGAUGAGAUUUCAAUUGUGCCUCCUUGAAGUUAAACAUCUGAGAGACACUUUGCUUAAUAGUUUGCCUUUCAGAGCACUGCAUUAGCUCCCUUGUGCUCCAGUCCGCUUAAUUUACAGCGAGUGCCCAAAAGUGGUGCAAUUAAGGAAGGAAUCUUGGGCUGAAGCUCUCGAUGCUUUCAAAUGACCAGCAGACCCUUCAGCGCUGGCUUGUUUUUACCAUAGCUGGAACAACACUUUCCGUGACUCACUCUUAAUUAUUCUCUGGAUUCACAAACAAAUGUUUUUAACCUCUUUCUGUUGUAUCUGAGAAUAAUUAAACUCUCAUCUCUGUCUCUGAGCAGUCCUGGAAACAUUGCUGUGAUCUGCCGUUCCACCUCUGUGAGCCUGACUCCUUGGCUAUCUGGCCCCACCAGAAAAGCAUAUCCUCCUUCUGCAUCUUUUUUAAAUGAGCUGACAUUUUUCACACUUUCUGUUUAUUUUCUUGCCCUGGAAACAGUCCUAUGCUUUGAUCUAUGCAAAAAAGAUGUCUUUUCCAGAGAGGUUGCUGGGCUUUCCCUGUUUCCUGUCAAGUGGCCAACCGCAGGCCACGUGGAGAAGAUGCUAGCUUCCUUUUCUUCUUCCCAGUAUCAGUAAGCCAGCUGCAGACCAUCUCAGCAGCUCUGCACCCUGCACAGGUGUUUCUUCAGGCAGGAGGAUAGAGGGAAGAAACAGAUGGUGCGGAAUCAACCCUCUUCACCAUUUGCAUUCCUACAUCUUUGCGAGCUUUCCAUCAGGAGUAAUGUUUGACCCUUGGGAAAGCAGAGCAACCUUUUGUUUGCCAUUCCUGAUGAUAUGAAAAUCAGCAGACACACUGCUGUGAUGAGUCGCCCACCAUGAAACAGUCACAUGCCAAACACCGCCCCAUCCCAGUGCUCCCCAGGGAGAGUUUGUGCCCAGUCUCAGUUUCUGAAGUCCUCAAAAGCCUGCUUUAUCCUAGAGAACCACUUCCUGUUGUGUCUGUUCCUGUAUUUGUACUAAGUAGGUGGAAACACUGGCAGCAGUUAUGGGAAGGGUAGGGCUUGGGGAAGGAUGUACGUAUUUAUCGAGAUCACCCUCCCAGCCAUGGCUGGAUGUUCUACUUAAGACCCUCUUCAGUGCUCAGUGUCAAGUGGAAAAUAAGCAGGACUCACUGCUUCCAUGAACAGAGAUGAAUUUUCCAAACCAAAAAAUAAUAUUUGAUGAAAGAAUAAGCAUCAUCUGUCAAGACAGGGCAUUUAAGGAGAUCUCAAGUUGAUUUUUCUUCUCCAGAUGUUGCUCCAGCAGGAAAUCCACCCAAAGGGUCUCAUCUGUCCUGUCCGGAGCCUGACCUUAAGGUCUACCAUGAGAGAGUGGGAGAUUGCAGCUGUUUGCUGAGAGUGAUACAGAGGAAGAGGACAUUGUAGCUGUUCCUGCACUCUCUUCACUGGGUUUGCGUGUAUGGGAACAAGGAGAGAUGCUUUUGGGGACAGAGGUCUGCCAGGCUGGGAGAACUGGUGCAGGGAGGGCUGAGACAGGGCAAGGUUGCUAAUGCUCUUAUAAAAAAAGGGCUAUGGGGAUCCAGGAGAAAGAUGCAACUGCUGAUGUUGAGAGGUGGCUUUUUUUUUUCCCCCAUAGAUCCAGGAGUUUUCAGCAUGUUGUAGAGAAGCAUUUCUGUUCCCUGGGAAAACAGGAUAGCUACAUACCCAGCAGGUGGCUUCACUUCUCAGCACACUCAGCUUCUCCUGCUCCAUAGGAAGCUGUUUCCCAGGAGCCACAUAUGGGCAUGGACUGGUUCAUGAGCCUAUUCAGAUACUGCUUGUUUCUGUGGCUUGGUGAUUUUGCAAUCUGCUUCUUAGGAAGAGGAAGGAGACAAAAGCCCUGUGACUGCUGAAGGCUUGAGACAGAUUCAUGCUUAUGAGCAGUCAUCCAUGUGGAUUUGGCAGCCAGAGCUCAGAGGCUUGUGGGCUGCCUGAGUGUCAUCCCUGCUACUUUGCCAACCUGCUGCCACAUGCAUAGACUGACUGAGGGGCUCAGGGAUCUGUCCACAUAGCUGAGAAAGAGGAGAAGAGGGACAGGAGAGUGACCCAAGUCAUUAUGUCCUUCAGCAUGGGCACCUCGAGUUGCCCAGUCCAGAUUUGCUCAGUGUGUGUUGGAGGAAGGCUAGAUCCUUCCUCCAGUUAAAAGAAGCAUUGCAAAUCUCAAAAUGGAAGGAGCCUAAGAGCAUGCUGGAUAUGGAUACGACCCUACAUGUAGCCCCGCAAGGGCUUUGCUUAUGGUUCGCAACUCCCCUGCGUGCUUUUGGAGCACGUAAAACAGUCAGCUUGCAGCCCUGCCCCUUCCCAGGAAUAUGCAGCUCCAAGGAGAAAAAUAACUAACUUCUUGGGAAAGGAUACAGCAAGCAAAAAAUGUGAGUCAAGACAGAUUUGCAAGGGAAAAGGUGGUAUGAAGAAUAACAAUAAAACACUGAUUGAUACUACAGAGAAGUUUCAGGGAGGUGAAAGGUUUGCAAAAAUGCCAGCUUGGGAAGUAUUAGAGAGACAGGUCUAUCUGUGGAAUAUGAGAGCCAGAUGUAUACCUCUUCUGCCUGAAAUCAUCUGGGCAAGGCCAAAAGGGGUAGCCACAAAAUGCACAGCUCAGAAAGUGGCUGGGUAACAUCAGGAACCAAUUGAGGUCUUGGGCAUGGGUGGACUGGAGGUGCCAAGCCUGCUCACAGAUACUGCUGGGAUGGGUGUCAUGUCAAGAAUGAUUCAAGCCACCCACAGCUCCUGCCCGCUUAGACCUUGGCUUCCCAUGCUGCCUGCAAGAAGCAGUCACGUCUCCUUGUGUAGGCAUCUAGAGUACACAGCAAAGCAAAACCAGCUGAAGAUAAAGUAAAGAUAAUUCCAAAAAAAAAGAUUGGAUGUAUUAAGCAAGAAUAGCAUGUCCUCCAGAUUGUUGAAAGAGGAAAAGAAGCAACAGUGGUGACCUUUUAUAAGUCAUGGAAAACGAAGGAGAUAGCUGGGUUCUUGGGAAAGAGGUCAGGAAAUGGAAGGCAGAGCAAUGGAAAUUUUUACCUGGCAACACUGACUUUGGUCCCAAAUACAGCGAAGGAAAAGGCAGGACGUGACAUAAAUCUCUGACUGUCUAAAGGAUGAAAGAAUAAUGAAUGUUUAUCCACAGGGCUAUAAAAAACAUGAAGAUGGAGAGAUUUUUUAUCAGUCUAUGAAAUGAGUGGUUGUGAGAAUACAGUGGAGGCAAUAUUUCGUCUCAUUUGUGAAGAAUUUGAUGCACUGUCUCAACACAGCACUUUUCUAAAAUUAAUUUGGCUUGAAUUUAAACAUCACGCACGCUGAACAUCGCAAUUUAAAGGUCCUCUCAGAUGGCCAUAUGAUAUCUUCCUCCUGGAUAAAGUGGAAGUGUUAAUGACCACAUCCCUCUGUUGAAGCCUUCUUUCUGCAGACACAAAACCGCUGCAUUCAUCUGCCUCCGCCAACCACAGUGCAGAUAACACUCAGCAAAACACCGCAUCCUCCAGGACGGAGGCGGGGAAGUGAGAAAGCCAGCAAGUGAGUCAUCAAGCCUUACGGGCAAAAUCUGCCUGGUAUUUGUGGUGUGCAAGAGAAUAGCCAUGCGAGGGGCUUUAAGCUCACACUGGUCCUGCAGGGCCACUUGACUCUGUCUAGGGAUCACUGUGUGUCAUCAUUCAUCAUCAAGACCUUAAAGUCUACUCUAACCCCCAGUACGUCCUUGUCUCCCUCUCUUCUUCUGCAGUGUGGUAGUUCCAGGAGCCAUCUCUGCUGGCUUUCUAUCACUGAAGUCUUCUGAGAGGAGAGAGCAUUGGUUUGUGGCUGAAAUCCUAAGCAUGUAAAUGUAGGCCGUGAUGCAAGAGAAACUGGCUUUCCAACUGUGCAUGGCAAGAAUGCCCCCUCAUUAAGGGAUCAAAGUGCUAUCCAUCAAGGCCGCCUCUUGCAACAUGCUGAAGACCUGAUUAUGGUCAUUUUUCUCCCUGCUUCUACUGCAUGCCUGAGAAAGGGACACGGUAAUUAAAGUUUGAAUCUCAUUAAAUCUCAGAAAGUGCUUGGCUUUCUGAGAAUCCAAUUAUCACAAAUGCUAUGUAACGCCAGUCAGGGCACAGUUUGUUUUUGGAGUUUGGAAUUAUUCUUGUUAAACAUACAAAUAUGGUAUGAAAUCAAAAUUUGUAGAGUAUGUUGAAAAUCCAAAGAAGGUGCAGCUAAAAAAAAAAAAAUCAAACAAUUUAAGGGCAGAAAAAAAUACCUUGGAGAGGGAAGGAAAGGCUGCAAGAGCUUCACUCACCAGUAAGAGAAGGGACAGAGCAGGGAAGCCUGAGCAGCAGGAAUUACCCUCAUUGAGCCCAAGGGCUUCCAAGGAUAGCGUGCCUGGGUCUGGAUGAGCACCCCAUCAAGAUAACAAGCUCUAGCUCCUGGAUGGUGACCUGAGGCAUAAAGCCAGAUGAGCAAUGAACUGUCAUGGCUUAACCAAAGGAGUGGCCAAGCCCUGGAACAUGCUGCCUAAGAGGGUGGUUGAGUCGCUGGAGGCAUUCAGGAAUGUUUAGAUGUUGUACUAAGGGACAUGGUGUAAUGAGGAAAUGGUGGUGGUGGGUGAAUGGUUGGACUAGAUGAUCUAGGAGCUCUUUUCCAACCUGAAUGAUUCCAUGACUCUAUAAACUAUGCCCCAACUGUUCUGGCUUGCUCUGUGGUCACUUGGGUUUGACAGGUGAAAAGUCCUUGAGUUUAAAUGCACUUGGAUCUGUACAUAUCCGUGGCACUGGAAAUCACGUAAAGCCAGCAGUGAGAGGUGAAGCUGUUCUUCCUCUUGCUCUUCAAACAUGGAAUCAGAGAAUAUUCUGAGUUGGAAUGGACCCACAGGGAUCAUUGAGUCCAACUCCUAGCUCCACAGAGGACCAUCCAAAGUUCAUAGAAUCAGGGAACAGCCUGGGUUGAAAAGGACCACAAUGAUCAUCUGAUUUCAAACCCCCUACUGUGUGCAGGUCGCCAACCACCGGACCAGGCUGCCCAGAACCACAUCCAGCCUGGCCUUGAAUGCCUCCAGGGAUGGGGCAUCCACAACCUCCUUUGGCAACUUGUUCCAGUGCGUCACCACCCUCUGGGUGAAAAACUUCCUCCUAAUAUCUAACCUGAACCUCUCCUGUUUUAUUUUAAAACCAUUCCCCCUUGUCCUAUCACUAUCCACCCUCGUAAACAGUCAUUCUAAACAAACAAAAACAAGUUUAAACAAGCAUCAUC